rnacentral:piRNA from 2 species
GGGGCUGGAGAGAUGGCUUAGCGGUU